AUUGAACGCUGGCGGCAUGCCUUACACAUGCAAGUCGAACGGUAACAGGUUAAGCUGACGAGUGGCGAACGGGUGAGUAAUACAUCGGAACGUGCCCAGUAGUGGGGGAUAGCCCGGCGAAAGCCGGAUUAAUACCGCAUACGACCUACGGGUGAAAGGGGGGGAGCGCAAGUCCUCUCGCGAUUGGAGCGGCCGAUAUAGGAUUAGGUAGUUGGUGGGGUAAAGGCCUACCAAGCCUGCGAUCUGUAGUUGGUCUGAGAGGACGACCAGCCACACUGGGACUGAGACACGGCCCAGACUCCUACGGGAGGCAGCAGUGGGGAAUUUUGGACAAUGGGCGCAAGCCUGAUCCAGCAAUGCCGCGUGCAGGAAGAAGGCCUUCGGGUUGUAAACUGCUUUUGUCAGGGACGAAAUCCUCUGGGUUAAUACCUCGGGGGGAUGACGGUACCUGAAGACUAAGCACCGGCUAACUACGUGCCAGCAGCCGCCGUAAGAC
rnacentral:rRNA from 1 species